UUUCCCAGCCUUUGUGCACUCGAAUGAACCUGGCAACAGCACUGCAAACCAAAAAUGGUGUUAGGUUCUUAUGCUUUGGAAAAGUCAAUGUGCAGGAAUUUGAGAAGCAGUGGUGCUUGCAUUGGGAGAGAGAUGAACUAAUCUGUGGCUUUCUUUGAGAGGCAUCCCUGGAAAACAUGUCUAAAGGGUGGUAUUUAUAUCACAGGCUAUCCCAUUUGCAGAGAAGAAAAGGAUUACCUUUGAAGUGUAAAGAUCAAAAGCUAUUUUUGCAGGAACACAGCAGUAAACAAACCAACAAAAGGUUAUUUGGGUCACAGUUGUUGUAACCCUCCUACAUUUAAGGAGCACCUUUGAGCUAGCCUUCCAGAGUCUUGAAAAGCCUUGCAAAAAGAAAGACUUCAAAACAAAUCAGUUUUUUAAUAAGGUAGUCAUGGGUGAUUUGACUCGUGGAAAAUGACGGCAAACAACAUGUGGCCUUCCAGCAGCUGAAUGGGAAGGCAGAUGUGCCUCAACAAUGGCUGAGUCAAGCUGUUGUUCUGUGAGAGAAAUACAUUGGCAUCUACUGGGGGUGGGGGAGAGAAGGAGCCAGUUCCCCUCACCCCAAUGAACUAUAUUCUCUGGAUUCCCAACUUUAAUUAAAA